GUGUUUAUGAUAUAAUUUUGUAUAGCAAACUAGUGAAGAUGGUGGCUACUCUGAUAAAGGGGGUGGUGCUUAUGGUGAAAUAACUGUAGACGCACAUUCUUGGAAAGGAGUGGCCAGAUGCCCGUUACGGACAUCAUCAUGAUACUAUUGGCCUUUGGACUGUUUAUUCUAAAGUUGAUUAGUAUUGUGA
rfam:Fructobacillus sp. EFB-N1 FEFB_c000013, whole genome shotgun sequence.